GGAGAGACAGGAUGCACAUAUACAGUUAACAUCUGUUAACUACAGGAUCACAGAGGAUGGAGAAAGUACGUCUUCCACAGAGAUGAGAAAGACUCCACGGAGAGGCUACCAUCUGACCUGCAGCUUGGAAAACUGCUAGAUUUUGGAAGAUUACCAGAGAGAGGAUGGCCAGAUAGGAAGGUGUUGGGGCCUGGGGGCCUGAAGAAUUCUAUGCACAAGUAGAAAAGAGCGUCACCAACAUGAUGAUAAUCACCUGCUCUGAGGAAAGCCUACUACCACUUUGUGAGCCUCACAUAGAGAGACCCAAGGGACAAGGACCUCAGGACACCAGCCACCUGCCACUGGAGUGAGCCUCCAAGCAGAGCGCCCUGUCUUUUCAAGUUACAGCGGCCCUGUUGACAUCUUGACUGCCACUUCAAGGGAAUCUGAACUGGAACCACUUGGCUCAGCUGUUCCCAGAGUCCUGAUCCCCUGAAACUGGGGGACAUGGAAAUGUAAAGUGACUAAAUGGAA